GACAGAGGUGCCAAGCGUUAGGCGGAAUCACUGGGCUUAAAGCGUGUGUAGGCGGGUCGUUAAGUACCUUGUGAAAUCCCCCGGCUCAACCGGGGAACGGCUGGGUAUACUGGCGAUCUUGAGCCACCUAGGGGCAGUCGGAACAAGUGGUGGAGCGGUGAAAUGCGUAGAUAUCGGGAGGAACACCAGUGGCGAAGGCGGCGACCUGGACGGACAUUGACGCUGAGACGCGAAAGCGUGGGGAGCAAACAGG
rnacentral:rRNA from 1 species